UACAGAGGGGGCAAGCGUUGUUCGGAAUUACUGGGCGUAAAGGGCGCGUAGGUGGCCUUCUAAGUCGAACGUGAAAUCCCUGGGCUCAACCCAGGAACUGCGUGCGAGACUGGGAGGCUUGAAUCCGGGAGAGGGAUGCGGAAUUCCAGGUGUAGCGGUGAAAUGCGUAGAUAUCUGGAGGAACGCCGGUGGCGAAAGCGGCACCCUGGAGCGGUAUUGACACUGAGGCACGAAAGCCAGGGGAGCAAACGGG
rnacentral:rRNA from 1 species